UACGAAGGGUGCAAGCGUUAAUCGGAAUUACUGGGCGUAAAGCGUGCGCAGGCGGCUUUGCAAGACAGAUGUGAAAUCCCCGGGCUUAACCCGGGAACUGCAUUUGGGACUGCAAGGCUGGAGUACGGCAGAGGAGACUGGAAUUCCUGGUGUAGCAGUGAAAUGCGUAGAUAUCAGGAGGAAUACCGAUGGCGAAGGCAGGUCUCUGGGCUGAUACUGACGCUCAUGCACGAAAGCGUGGAGAGCAAACAGG
rnacentral:rRNA from 1 species